CUUAACUGUAAAAGACACAAAUUGGAAGAGUAUGUAUGAGUGAGCAGGCAAUAGCGAAAAUGUAAACAAUAACUGGUGACGUCACCAGUGCGACAAGGCGAGCGACAUCGUUAGAGAUAAGCGCUUGCCAUUUGAAAUCAAAAUGGAUAAAUUAAUCCGCUGUACACAUUAGAAGGGAAAAGCAAAAUUUGUAUUGAUAAUAAUUUACCUACACUAAAUAAAAAUAAUUUUCUGUUAUAAAUUUUUGAGUGCCCUAACUCAAAUGAACACACAUACAGUCAUAUUCGAGCAUACACCUACAACUAACAACCGAUCAGUCUGUUCAGUCUGUAUGCGUCACAAAUGUAAAUGACGCAAUGUUUUUUUUUUUUUUUUUUUUAGCACACAGAGACUCAAUGCACAUCUGUUAGCAGUAUACACUGCAAUUGGCCGUUCCUUGGGUAUAUCAUAGGACGAAUGAAUAUAUAGUUAUUUCACUGAGCUAUUCCGUUUCGCUGGGGUGUAGGGGCUUGCCGAGGGGAAUGGUGGGGGUUGAUCUAGCUCACCUUCUCGUGUGCCGCGUUUGCGACCGAGUGUACUGAAUUUUUCCCAGAUGCUAUCCUCCUUCUCGCCCUUCUUAAUGGCUGUGGGCGUAUGCGGAGAUUUGGGGCGAUUUAAAGUCGACAUCUCUGUGUGUGCGCAACGCAAACAAAAUAAAAAACGAAUAAAACAGAGCGAACGCCGUGCGAUAGAGCAGCAAGACACUCGAUUGACUGGAUUACCGAUAGGCUUUAUCUCUCCUUUUAUUUGGUGUCAUCGAUAUAAUUAAUCGAUACUUAUCAGUGAAAUCUUUAAAUCUUAAGGGCUCUCCAAAGAAUAUAGAAAAUUUAUAGCUAAAUGUUAUUGAUAAAUUAAAAGUCUAUCGGCAGAUGUUUAUGUUA